GACCAGACUCCUACGGGAGGCAGCAGUGGGGAAUAUUGCACAAUGGGGGAAACCCUGAUGCAGCGACGCCGCGUGAGCGAUGAAGUAUUUCGGUAUGUAAAGCUCUAUCAGCAGGGAAGAAGAUGACGGUACCUGACUAAGAAGCCCCGGCUAACUACGUGCCAGCAGCCGCGGUAAUACGUAGGGGGCAAGCGUUAUCCGGAUUUACUGGGUAUAAAGGGAGCGUAGACGGCGAUGCAAGCCAGAUGUGAAAGCCCGGGGCUCAACCCCGGGACUGCAUUUGGAACUGUGUGGCUGGAGUGUCGGAGAGGCAGGCGGAAUUCCUAGUGUAGCGGUGAAAUGCGUAGAUAUUAGGAGGAACACCAGUGGCGAAGGCGGCCUGCUGGACGAUGACUGACGUUGAGGCUCGAAAGCGUGGCGAGCAAACAGGAUUAGAUACCCCUGUA
rnacentral:rRNA from 1 species